rnacentral:lncRNA from 1 species
AAGAGAAAGCAUUUGGGGCCGAGUGAGAGGAUGGAUCACUGGGUCCAGACGCACCAGGCCACCGGCCAGGAACCUUCCUGCCCUCAUGGGCAGCUCAGGGCAGGUCUUACCACACCCAGCGACCACUGGCACUGAGAUGAGAGGGAGCCCAGGGCAGGUCUCCCUGGGCCUGGCCACCACACACUCGGAGCCACUGAGUCCAGGACAGGACCAUUUAGGAUUGGCCACCUCUGGCUUGGUAAACAGGGGGCCAGGGUCCUGGUGCCGAAGGAAUCCGGGCCCCUUGUCCUCAACCGACACAUCCUCUCUGCUCAGCCUCCACCAUGGCCAGGGGCAAGGUCACUGUCCACAUGUUGGUGGGAACAUCAGAAAAGGGACAAGGACACAGCGUCACUUCGAUCCUCUCAUAAUUUCAUUCUGUCAUUUCACCUCCUUGUAUCUCCUGGCCCAGGUGUCCAUGUGGCACUCGUUAGAUGUCCAAGAUCCCCGGGCUAAAUGACCUUCCACAAGGGAGCAGUGAACACAGCCGUUCAGCCUCACAUGGGAAAGGAAGCUGGACCUGGCUCUUCCUGGGCCAUUUCAACAGGAACCUGGGGAACAUUCUGUGUGGCCUCAUAAAUGGCCCUGGGGUCCCAGG